rnacentral:lncRNA from 1 species
GAGAUCGCAUCCUGUGUAUUCUCAAUCCUAGAUGAUUUGGGAAAGGUCUUUUGGCCAAAAGCAGAAAGAAGAUUAGAAAGAGUUUAUAAUACUUCUUCAUUAAAGUUAUUAUUGGUUAAUUAAAAAUCGAUACGAAUAUGUGUUUGAGUUUGACAUGAUUCUAUACUCAUGAAUAUAUUCAGGGUGCAAGAAUGAUCGAAGGAU